rnacentral:rRNA from 1 species
UGGGGAAUUUUGGACAAUGGGCGAAAGCCUGAUCCAGCAAUGCCGCGUGUGUGAAGAAGGCCUUCGGGUUGUAAAGCACUUUUGUCCGGAAAGAAAUCCUUGGCUCUAAUACAGUCGGGGGAUGACGGUACCGGAAGAAUAAGCACCGGCUAACUACGUGCCAGCAGCCGCGGUAAUACGUAGGGUGCAAGCGUUAAUCGGAAUUACUGGGCGUAAAGCGUGCGCAGGCGGUUUGCUAAGACCGAUGUGAAAUCCCGGGCUCAACCUGGGAACUGCAUUGGUGACUGGCAGGCUAGAGUAUGGCAGAGGGGGGUAGAAUUCCACGUGUAGCAGUGAAAUGCGUAGAGAUGUGGAGGAAUACCGAUGGCGAAGGCAGCCCCUGGGCCAAUACUGACGCUCAUGCACGAAAGCGUGGGGAGCAAACAGGAUUAGAUACCCUGGUAGCCCACGCCCUAAACGAUGUCAACUAGUUGUUGGGGAUUCAUUUCCUUAGUAACGUAGCUAACGCGUGAAGUUGACCGCCUGGGGAGUACGGUCGCAAGAUUAAAACUCAAAUGAAUUGACGGGGUCAUAGCUGUUUCCU